UACGGAGGGUGCAAGCGUUGUCCGGAUUUACUGGGCGUAAAGGGCGCGCAGGCGGCCUGGUAAGUUACUCGUGAAGGCCCCCGGCUAAACCGGGGAGGGUCGAGUGAUACUGUCAGGCUAGAGAGCAGCAGAGGAUAGUAGAAUUCCCGGUGUAGUGGUGAAAUGCGUAGAGAUCGGGAGGAAUACCAGUGGCGAAGGCGGCUAUCUGGGCUGUAUCUGACGCUGAGGCGCGAAGGCUAGGGUAGCAAACAGG
rnacentral:rRNA from 1 species